rnacentral:rRNA from 1 species
AUUGAACGCUGGCGGCAUGCCUAACACAUGCAAGUCGAACGGCAGCACAGUAAAGAUUUCGGUCUUUAUGGGUGGCGAGUGGCGGACGGGUGAGUAAUGCGUAGGAAUCUGUCCUGAAGAGUAGGAUAACCCGAGGAAACUCGGGCUAAUACUGCAUGAUAUCGAGAGAUCAAAGGCAGGGGACCCUUCGGGGCCUUGCGCUCUAGGAUGAGCCUACGUCGGAUUAGCUAGUUGGUGGGGUAAAGGCCUACCAAGGCGACGAUCCGUAGCUGGUCUGAGAGGAUGACCAGCCACACUGGGACUGAGACACGGCCCAGACUCCUACGGGAGGCAGCAGUGGGGAAUCUUGGACAAUGGGGGAAACCCUGAUCCAGCGAUGCCGCGUGUGUGAAGAAGGCCUUCGGGUUGUAAAGCACUUUAGUUGGGGAAGAAAAGUAAUGAGUGAAUAACUGAUUGCUCUGACGGUACCCAAAGAAUAAGCACCGGCUAACUCUGUGCCAGCCGCCGCGGUAA